rnacentral:lncRNA from 1 species
AGGAGCAGCCUGACACGCCCUCCAGUCGCAAGCCCAGCAUUGUCAUCCCGCCCAGCAGCUACCAGGUGCGGAGGUGGAAGGGGUGGAGGUCACGAGAAGGAAGCCUAGAAGGGAGGGCGGGGCCGUGAGGGCGGCCAUCAACUGCAGGGUUGGAAUGCAGAGAUGGCAUGGGUGCGGGGGUCUGCAUGCGUUUGCACGUUCCCUUGACACGCAGUGCUGCGCAAACCGCUCCAUCACGACGCCCCUCAUCGCCGCCGUCUUGCCCGCCCACCUCCCCGCUGGCUGCUGCCCCGCAGGUGCCCCGCUCCGGUCCCCUAGGCGAGGCGGCAGCCAAGCUGCUCUCCCCCAAUUCUACCCUGUACGGCGGCGGCCCGCCAGUCACCACCUCUAGCCUCGUGGGGCGGUCCUCCCCCUCCCCAGCAACCACCGACACCGCCCCCGCCCCAUUCGGCGCCGGCGCCGUCACUGGCAGCACUUUCACGUCUGCCGUACCAACCUCCGGAACAACCGCCAGCAUCGUGUACGGAAGCAGCAUGACCAGCGCCCUGUACGGCACCGGCGGCGCCAUCUCGGCGCCUGGAUCCGGAGCCAGCAUGGGCCCAGGC